GCGCCUGUAGCUCAGUUGGAUACGAGCAAAUGACUUCUAAUCAUUAGGUCGCAGGUUCGAGCCCUGCCAGGCGCG
rnacentral:tRNA from 1 species